rnacentral:rRNA from 1 species
CCUACGGGGUGCAGCAGUGGGGAAUCUUGCACAAUGGGGGAAACCCUGAUGCAGCGACGCCGCGUGAGUGAAGAAGUAAUUCGUUACGUAAAGCUCUAUCAGCAGGGACGAACCACUUACCUUACGGUCAUCAGACGGUACCUACGUCAGAAUCCCCGUCUAACUACGUUCCAGCAGCCGCGGUAAUACGUAGUGGGCAAGCGUUAUCCGGAUUGACUGGGAGUAAAGGGAGCGUAGACGGUGCGCCAAGUCUGGAGUGAAAUGCCGAAGCUUAACUGCGGAACUGCGUUGGAAACUGGCGAACUAGAGUGCGGGAGGGGUAAGCGGAAUUCCUAGGGUAGCGGUGAAAUGCGUAGAUAUUAGGAGGAACACAGGUGGCGAAGGCGGCUUACUGGACCGUAACUGACGUUGAGGCUCGAAAGCGUGGGGAGCAAACAGGAUUAGAUACCCGGGUAGUC